rnacentral:rRNA from 1 species
GUAGGUGGCAAGCGUUGUCCGGAAUUGUUGGGCGUAAAGCGCGCGCAGGCGGUCCUUUAAGUCUGAUGUGAAAGCCCACGGCUCAACCGUGGAGGGUCAUUGGAAACUGGGGGACUUGAGUACAGAAGAGGAAAGCGGAAUUCCAAGUGUAGCGGUGAAAUGCGUAGAGAUUUGGAGGAACACCAGUGGCGAAGGCGGCUUUCUGGUCUGUAACUGACGCUGAGGCGCGAAAGCGUGGGGAGCAAACAGGAUUAGAUACCCUGGUAGUCCACGCCGUAAACGAUGAGUGCUAAGUGUUAGGGGGUUUCCCGCCCCCUUAGUGCUGCAGCUAACGCGUUAAGCACUCCGCCUGGGGGAGUACGGCCGCAAGGCUG